GCAGUAGCCGCGGUAAUACGGAGGGUGCAAGCGUUAAUCGGAAUUACUGGGCGUAAAGCGCACGCAGGCGGUCUGACAAGUCAGAUGUGAAAUCCCCGGGCUUAACCUGGGAACUGCAUUUGAAACUGUCAGGCUGGAGUCUUGUAGAGGGGGGUGGAAUUCCAGGUGUAGCGAUGAAAUGCGUAGAGAUCUGGAGGAAUACCGGUGGCGAAGGCGGCCCCCUGGACAAAGACUGACGCUCAGGUGCGAAAGCGUGGGGAGCAAACAGGAUUAGAUACCCCUGUAGUCCCUGUCUCUUAUAC
rnacentral:rRNA from 1 species